rnacentral:tRNA from 1 species
AAGGAAGUGGCAGAGUGGCUAUGUAACUGGCUUGAAACCAGAGUACGGGGGUUCAAAUCCUCCCUUCCUCG